CCCUUUAUCAUGCUGAGACCAAGGUCUCUUUUACAGAAGAGCGCUGUAAUUAAAUAAAUAUUCACCAAAAUAUACACAUCAAUGCGCUACAAAAAGCAAAACAGAGCUACAAAACACAAUCAUAGAAAACAAACACAUUCUUCAGUAAAAAGGUCCUCAAUAAGUCAUAAUAAAUAUUUGGGCAUCUGGAUUGACAAAAAGUUAAUUUUCAUGUUAUGAAUUGUGCUAAAAAACUAGGUGCUAAAAAACUAAGGUGCUAAAAAACUAAAAGCAGAAUUAACUAACUCAGUGGAGAUCGAAGGGAUCUCCAGAGUUAAGCAUCCCUGACUCAGUGGAGAUCGAAGGGAUCUCCAGAGUUAUCCUUCCCUGACUCAGUGGAGAUCAAAGGGAUCUCCGGAGUUAUCCUUCCCUGACUCAGUGGAGAUCGAAGGGAUCUCCGGAGUUAUCCUUCCCUGACUCAGUGGAGAUCGAAGGGAUCUCCAGAGUCAUCCUUCCCUGACUCAGUGGAGAUCGAAGGGAUCUCCAGAGUCAGCCAUCCCUGACUCAGUGGAGAUUGAAGGGAUCUCCAGAGUCGUCCAUCCCUGACUCAGUGGAGAUCGAAGGGAUCUCCAGAGUCAGCCAUCCCUGACUCAGUGGAGAUCGAAGGGAUCUCCAGAGUUGUCCUUCCCUGACUCAGUGGAGAUCGAAGGGAUCUCCAGAGUUAUCUAUCCCUGACUCAGUGGAGAUUGAAGGGAUCUCCAGAGUCAUCCAUCCCUGACUCAGUGGAGAUCGAAGGGAUCUCCAGAGUCAUCCAUCCCUGACUCAGUGGAGAUCGAAGGGAUCUCCAGAGUCAUCCAUCCCUGACUCAGUGGAGAUCGAAGGGAUCUCCAGAGUCAUCCAUCCCUGACUCAGUGGAGAUCAAAGGGAUCUCCAGAGUUAUCCUUCCCUGACUCAGUGGAGAUCGAAGGGAUCUCCAGAGUCAGCCAUCCCUGACUCAGUGGAGAUCGAAGGGAUCUCCAGAGUUGUCCUUCCCUGACUCAGUGGAGAUCGAAGGGAUCUCCAGAGUUAUCUAUCCCUGACUCAGUGGAGAUUGAAGGGAUCUCCAGAGUUAAGCAUCCCUGACUCAGUGGAGAUCGAAGGGAUCUCCAGAGUUAUCCUUCCCUGACUCAGUGGAGAUCGAAGGGAUCUCCAGAGUUAUCUAUCCCUGACUCAGUGGAGAUUGAAGGGAUCUCCAGAGAUAAGCAUCCCUGACUCAGUGGAGAUCGAAGGGAUCUCCAGAGUUAAGCAUCCCUGACUCAGUGGAGAUCGAAGGGAUCUCCAGAGUUAAGCAUCCCUGACUCAGUGGAGAUCGAAGGGAUCUCCAGAGUUAUCCUUCCCUGACUCAGUGGAGAUCGAAGGGAUCUCCAGAGUCAGCCAACCCUGACUCAGUGGAGAUCGAAGGGAUCUCCAGAGUUGUCCUUCCCUGACUCAGUGGAGAUUGAAGGGAUCUCCAAAGUUAUCUAUCCCUGACUCAGUGGAGAUUGAAGGGAUCUCCAGAGUUAAGCAUCCCUGACUCAGUGGAGAUCGAAGGGAUCUCCAGAGUCAUCCAUCCCUGACUCAGUGGAGAUCGAAGGGAUCUCCAGAGUUAAGCAUCCCUGACUCAGUGGAGAUCGAAGGGAUCUCCAGAGUUAUCCUUCCCUGACUCAGUGGAGAUCGAAGGGAUCUCCAGAGUUAUCCUUCCCUGACUCAGUGGAGAUUGAAGGGAUCUCCAGAGAUAAGCAUCCCUGACUCAGUGGAGAUCGAAGGGAUCUCCAGAGUUAAGCAUCCCUGACUCAGUGGAGAUCGAAGGGAUCUCCAGAGUUAUCCUUCCCUGACUCAGUGGAGAUCGAAGGGAUCUCCAGAGUCAGCCAACCCUGACUCAGUGGAGAUCGAAGGGAUCUCCAGAGUUGUCCUUCCCUGACUCAGUGGAGAUUGAAGGGAUCUCCAAAGUUAUCUAUCCCUGACUCAGUGGAGAUUGAAGGGAUCUCCAGAGUUAAGCAUCCCUGACUCAGUGGAGAUCGAAGGGAUCUCCAGAGUCAUCCAUCCCUGACUCAGUGGAGAUCGAAGGGAACUCCAGAGUUAAGCAUCCCUGACUCAGUGGAGAUCGAAGGGAUCUCCAGAGUUAUCCUUCCCUGACUCAGUGGAGAUCGAAGGGAUCUCCAGAGUUAUCCUUCCCUGACUCAGUGGAGAUUGAAGGGAUCUCCAGAGUUAUCCUUCCCUGACUCAGUGGAGAUUGAAGGGAUCUCCAGAGUUAAACAUCCCUGACUCAGUGGAGAUCGAAGGGAUCUCCGGAGUUAUCCUUCCCUGACUCAGUGGAGAUCGAAGGGAUCUCCAGAGUCAUCCUUCCCUGACUCAGUGGAGAUCGAAGGGAUCUCCAGAGUCAGCCAUCCCUGACUCAGUGGAGAUCGAAGGGAUCUCCAGAGUCAUCCAUCCCUGACUCAGUGGAGAUCGAAGGGAUCUCCAGAGUCAUCCAUCCCUGACUCAGUGGAGAUCGAAGGGAUCUCCAGAGUCAUCCAUCCCUGACUCAGUGGAGAUCAAAGGGAUCUCCAGAGUUAUCCUUCCCUGACUCAGUGGAGAUCGAAGGGAUCUCCAGAGUCAGCCAUCCCUGACUCAGUGGAGAUCGAAGGGAUCUCCAGAGUUGUCCUUCCCUGACUCAGUGGAGAUCGAAGGGAUCUCCAGAGUUAUCUAUCCCUGACUCAGUGGAGAUUGAAGGGAUCUCCAGAGUUAAGCAUCCCUGACUCAGUGGAGAUCGAAGGGAUCUCCAGAGUUAAGCAUCCCUGACUCAGUGGAGAUCGAAGGGAUCUCCAGAGUUAUCCUUCCCUGACUCAGUGGAGAUCGAAGGGAUCUCCAGAGUCAGCCAACCCUGACUCAGUGGAGAUCGAAGGGAUCUCCAGAGUUGUCCUUCCCUGACUCAGUGGAGAUUGAAGGGAUCUCCAAAGUUAUCUAUCCCUGACUCAGUGGAGAUCGAAAGGAUCUCCAGAGUAGUCCUUCCCUGACUCAGUGGAGAUCGAAGGGA
rnacentral:lncRNA from 1 species